GGGCGGUUGCUGAAAUUGGCAGACAGGGCGGACUUAGGAUCCGUUGGGGUAACACCCGUGCGAGUUCGAGUCUCGCACCGCCCACCA
rnacentral:tRNA from 1 species